AAAUCACUUGAACCCAGGAGCCGGAGGUUGCAGUGAGCUGAGAUCACACCAUUGCACUCCAGCCUGGGCAACAAGA
rnacentral:snRNA from 1 species